rnacentral:rRNA from 1 species
UACGGAGGAUCCAAGCGUUAUCCGGAAUCAUUGGGUUUAAAGGGUCCGUAGGUGGACGAUUAAGUCAGAGGUGAAAUCCUGCAGCUCAACUGUAGAAUUGCCUUUGAUACUGGUUGUCUUGAAUCAUUGUGAAGUGGUUAGAAUAUGUGGUGUAGCGGUGAAAUGCAUAGAUAUCACAUAGAAUACCGAUUGCGAAGGCAGAUCACUAACAAUGUAUUGACACUGAUGGACGAAAGCGUGGGGAGCGAACGGGAUUAGAUACCCCGGUAGUCCACGCCGUAAACGAUGGAUACUAGUUGUUCGGAUUUCGGUCUGAGUGACUAAGCGAAAGUGAUAAGUAUCCCACCUGGGGAGUACGUUCGCAAGAAUGAA